AUGGCCAGCAGGGGAUGGAGAGCACUAGCGGUGGAUGAGAAUCUGUGGGUGGGUGUUGAGAAACCUGGAGAAGCUCCUAAACCGUUAAUGUAUCAAAUAAACUCCCGCUAUGGAUUGACUCCCAGUCGAUUUGCUGGUGGAGGAGCCAAAUAUGGAACUGACUUCACACUGACCAUCAGUGAUGUCCAGGCUGAGGAUGCAGGAGUUUACUACUGUCAGAGUGAACACUAUAUCAACAAGUCAUAUGGACAGGUCACUGUGACUCAGACUCCUGCAGUGAAAGCUGUUCAACAGGGAGGAUCAGUCACUCUGAACUGUAGAACCAGCAGCAAUGUAUAUGAUGCAGGGUCAUCAACUCCUCGAUUAGCCUGGUACCAAGAGAAACCUGGAGCAGCUCCUAAACUCCUCAUCUAUUACGCCAAAAGACUCCAGUCUGGGACUCCAUCCAGAUUCAGUGGCAGUGGAGAUUACAGUGACUUCACUCUGACCAUCAGUGAUGUCCAGACUGAGGAUACAGGAGUUUACUACUGUCAAAGUUGGCAUAGUGGUGGUGUGUUCACACAGUGA